UACGGGGGGGAGCAAGCGUUGUUCGGAUUUACUGGGCGUAAAGGGCGCGUAGGCGGCGCAACAAGUCACUUGUGAAAUCUCCGGGCUUAACCCGGAGCGGCCAAGUGAUACUGUCGUGCUAGAGUGCGGAAGGGGCUACUGGAAUUCUCGGUGUAGCGGUGAAAUGCGUAGAUAUCGAGAGGAACACCUGCGGCGAAGGCGGGGUAGCUGGGCCGACACUGACGCUGAGGCGCGAAAGCCAGGGGAGCGAACGGG
rnacentral:rRNA from 1 species